UUGGCUGUGCAGAGGAUGCGGGCUAAGC
rnacentral:sRNA from 1 species